GAUGAACGCUGGCGGCGUGCCUAAUACAUGCAAGUCGAGCGAACAGACGAGGAGCUUGCUCCUCUGACGUUAGCGGCGGACGGGUGAGUAACACGUGGAUAACCUACCUAUAAGACUGGGAUAACUUCGGGAAACCGGAGCUAAUACCGGAUAACAUGUUGAACCGCAUGGUUCAACAGUGAAAGACGGUCUUGCUGUCACUUAUAGAUGGAUCCGCGCCGCAUUAGCUAGUUGGUAAGGUAACGGCUUACCAAGGCAACGAUGCGUAGCCGACCUGCGAGGGGGAUCGGCCACAUGGGAACUGGGACACGGACCAGAGUCCUAAGGGAGGCAGCAGUAUGGAAUCGUCCGCAAUGGGCGGAAGCCUGACGGAGCAACGCCGCGUGAGUGAAGAAGGUCUUCGGAUCGUAAAACUCUGUUAUUAGUGAAGAACAAAUGUGUAAGUAACUAUGCACGUCUUGACGGUACCUAAUCAGAAAGCCACGGCUAACUACGUG
rnacentral:rRNA from 1 species